UCGUCAUGGUGACUUUUUUUCGACGGUUUUUUUUGGAAGUUGCUGCGUUGUCGAAAAUCUAGCACUGAGUUUUAUUACAAACAUCAUUACCUCAGUUCUAUUACUUAAACUUCCUCAAACUCAGUUUUAACGUCCGAAUACUCAACCGCGACUUAAAUAUUAUGUUGAACUUAAUUACGCAAUUCCUACUUUAAUGUACUGGCUAAGUGGGCCGUGCAAAUUAAUAUUUGACACACUGAGUGAGACAUUGCAACACACAUGGUCUGCGCGUAUCGGGUGCUCUUUUCCUACAUUCACAUCUUCAAUUGAUUUAAAAUUGCUUGUAUUUUUACUUCUGUGCUAUUUUCAUGACACGUGUAUAUUAAGUCUACUAGUUACAUUUUAGGAAAUAAAACACAAUGGGUAAUAAAAUGAAAUGAACUGAAAUUCAUUUAUUUGUUAUAUGUAGACAAUUAAAUAACUCUUAAAUGACAAGUCAAUACACAUAACACAAUACACAUAGUACUUGAUCUCUAUUUACAAAAUAUUGGUUAUAUUAUUAUUAUUAAGUUCAGUUAAUUUUCUGUAGUCUUAUAAUAUAAAAUUUCCUCUAUUUUAAGUAAAUUCUUUUUUUUCAACGAAAUACAUAAUUUAUUUUAAUCAAUAUCUAAGUGGACCAUGAGUAUCAUUAAAAUUUCGCAAUUUAAAUUUCAAUUCAAUUAAAAAUCGCCAUUUUUCUUUAAUGAAUCUAAAAUCGACUUUAUAUUUACAAUCACUAUUUCGCGACUUUUAAGUUUUUGUUUCAAUACCUUAACAUCUUGUCGUAAUUUUGCUUUUCUCGGGGUAUUUUUUAUUUCUUGCGUUUGAGUACUUGAUUCUUCUUGUUUGACCUUUAUAUAGAACAUUUUCUAGAAAUUCCAACGUCAUAUUUACUAGAAGAUCCUCCUCGUUCGCUUAACGUCAGGCAAAUGAUAUACAUGCUUGCGUGCGACGCUAUUCAAUACAAUAAAAAAAGUUCAAAAAAUACUACGUGAUGGCUCUUAUAAUAUAAAAAAUACAUUGCAAAAUUAUAGUUUUCACGAUUGUUUUUUCAAAUUUAGUAUAUGACAUAGAUUAAGUACAAUUUACAAGACAAAUGGUAAUAAAUAUUAUAAUGAGAAAAAAUAUCUCACAUUUUAAAAAUAUAUGCUCACACUAGUAAAAAUUUAUCAAUGAAUCUGACAUAUGGAAGGAUAUUCCACAAACUGGAGAGGAUUCUCGCUUAAAACCACUUACAUUAAAAGUGUUCACCAUGAUUACACGGAAACUUUCACGAUUUUCGAAAAAAAACAAGCCACAAGCUGUAUCAGUGCCAUUUUAACUUCGCACUACAAACGUAAAUAGACGCCAUUUUUCUUUUAAUCCAUUCAUAGCUCUUUUUCGGUGAUGCCAACAAUUAAUCUGGCUUCCCACCAAAUUCAACAUGAAAACCAUCGGAAAUCUACGUACCUACCAUUACAUUUUCCAUUAAACAGAGUUCUUAUUAAUAUAGAACAAUAAUUUUUUUGUUAAUGAGCUUUAUUAAUAUAUGAUGUUCUAUUAAAAAUCAAUAUAUAUCAUAUAAUCAAUACUUCUUAUAUAAUUUAUUUUAAUAAAUUGUCAUCAUCAGAAACUAAUUUCACCAUAACUUUGUACGUUUAUUUUGAACCAAUUUAAUUUUUGACGUUGAUGGAAAUUCUAAAUUGUCGCAACAUUUUCUAGUUAAGUUUAAGUCACAUCGUUUAAAUAAUAUGAAGUUUAAGUCACAUCGUUUAAAUAAUAUGUAUUUAGAUAUAUUAUUGUCAUAAAAUGUUUAAAAUCCUGUAAAGUGGAUUGAUUUUAACCUUUUCGAUAAUUUUCAACAACUCCCAAGCUACUAAAAAAUCCACUAACCACUAAAAGCCAUUUUUGAUAACUAAGACGGGGGUUCAAAUUCCGAGAUUUUAUGGAAAAUCCCCUAAGCUAGCAACACUGCUUUUUGUUUGUAAAAUGUGCGAGAGGGACACCACCACUUAAUAAUCAUUCUCUUUUCAGACCUUCGAUCAACAAUAGUAACUAGAUUUCGGGUCAGUGCAUAAAAUCCGUCUCGUCAAAUAACAGCGCACUUGAAAUGUGAGCUCUUAUUUUGUUUAGUUCACUUCAAACACAGCCAAUGUCAACCCGUCUCACAAUACCGCAGUGUGUAUUCAAAAGUUGCAAAAAUAAGGCCCGAAAAAGCAAUUUAACGGCCGGAAUAUCUUACUUUCGCUUUCCUAGCAAUCACGUGUGCAGAAUGGAUCUCGAUUGUCGCCAGAGAAACAAGAGAUGACUUUUAUAAGCCAGCUAAGAUCUCCGCUUAUUGACACUGGACAUCUUUGCCUUCCGUGCUCACGGCUACUGAAACGUGGCCGAAACAUUGUAAUAAAAAUACCACGCUUGAAACCGUUUAAA